CAGCCGCCACGGUAAUACGGAGGGAGCUAGCGUUGUUCGGAAUUACUGGGCGUAAAGCGCACGUAGGCGGCUUUGUAAGUUAGAGGUGAAAGCCUGGAGCUCAACUCCAGAACUGCCUUUAAGACUGCAUCGCUUGAAUCCAGGAGAGGUGAGUGGAAUUCCGAGUGUAGAGGUGAAAUUCGUAGAUAUUCGGAAGAACACCAGUGGCGAAGGCGGCUCACUGGACUGGUAUUGACGCUGAGGUGCGAAAGCGUGGGGAGCAAACAGGAUUAGAUACCCCGGUAGUCCCUGUCUCUUAUAC
rnacentral:rRNA from 1 species